ACAGUGGCGGUUCAGUGGUAGAAUUCCCGCCUCCCAUGUGGGAGACCUGACUUCAAUUCCCAGUCAAUGCA
rnacentral:tRNA from 1 species